AUAUUUUUUCGAAAGAGUUCGUCUUUCAAACUAAGGUAGCCAAAAAAUAAACUUGGCUAAACAUGGUUUGCGUCCCAAUUGUAAGUAUCUGUGAUAUAAGACAAUGUAAGACACGUUAUCAAAGAACACUGCCUGCUUCUUACUAGGGGGCGUUCAUAAAUUGUGUGACCUUACUUAAAGCAUUAUGGUUUUCUUGAUAACGUACACCGUAAAAAAUAUUGGAAAAAUAAGAAUGCAUGCGCAUACAAGUCUCGCGGAAAAAUUGUAAUCGGCUGGCGACAAAUUGUAACCACGCGGUAUCAAACACCUUGGACCAGUCUUAUUUGUUUUUGUACUGAAGAAAAUGCGGGCUAUAAACUAGGUUAACGGUACCCUUAAUUAUGUCGGCGUGGCCCCAUAUAUAUAACUAUGUGCACCCCGCGAGGUUUAAAAUUUACUAAUAAAUUAACUAUAUAGGUAUAUAUAUACUUUUUACUGAACAGAAUGGAGGCUAUAAACUGGAUAAGCCGUGGACAAGCCUUCGUGAGCUACAUAAUUUAUGGAUGGCCCAUUAAAUAAACUAUCAAUCAUGAAAGUUUGUUAGCUUCAAUUACGACAGAAUAUCCUUUAAAUAGUUAACUUUGGUCCCAAAUUCACUCAGAGUUCAGCAGACAACUUACACACUCUUGGGUUGCAAAUAAUUUUAAUUCAGAAACAUAAAAAGUGUGGUAUAUUUUUCGGAUUUUAGAAGAUUCAAAAUGGCAAUCAUGCAUCGAUUUAUUCGUCUCCUUGUCGUUCUUACUUUAACCGGGUCUUUUUUUCCUGGACGGGUAGACGCUAUCCUCGGUUGCGCUUGUUUGGCGACUAGCUGUCUCGGCUGGAAUGAUCGCGUAACGUGUGGCACAAAUCAACCUUUUCUGGGAUUGCCAAUUUUUAAUGGAGGCACUUGCAAGUGGGUUAGUGACGAAUGCAAGUUCAAAUGCCAGGGUGGCUUAGGCCAGAUUUGUAUCUCCAUCUGAAAAGAAGUCAUGGAAAAUUACACAUGCGGCAUAAUUUAUGCCAAUUUAUUGUAAAAAUGAACCGAUUCAAUAAAAUGUUAAACUUAUUUACAUAAUGUAAAAAAUAUUAUAAUUUUAAGCCCAAAAUCAGCUACUAUCUAUUUGAAUAAAUAUAAUGGUUAAACAUGAAA